CCAAUCUUUUCCCUAAUGUCGGGAAUCCUUUUCAUCAUCUUGAUGAAUCGUGUCCUGCAAUGUCCUUCCUUCCCAUCGUCCUUGACGGGUGUGUCUGUCCGUCAACAC
rnacentral:sRNA from 1 species